UGCAGUGUCACCUAAUGGUAAGGUACUCGGCUCAUAACCGAGAAUAUGCGGGUUUCUCUUAUCGGAGACGCUAUGCGAACAAGUCCCGCCACUGCGACCA
rnacentral:tRNA from 1 species